AAAUUGUAUUAGGUCCAGACGGAAAAAUCAGAAAUCGUCGGAAGCCAUGGAUUGUCACUUUGCAGCAACAACAGAAAUGGCGAUUCUAUCAUAUUUCAGGCUUUGGUAGGUGCAGGGUGGUGUACAUUUAAGGAUGACAAUGAGAUUGAGAGAGGGGAAAAUAUUAAGACAGAAUUAGAGAAUGCAAUUAUAAAUUCGAGGAGUUCAAUAAUUAUCCUCUCGAAGAACUAUGCUACUUCAACAUGGUGCCUUGAUGAACUUGUUAAAAUCCUUGAACAUAAGAGGACAAAAGGGCAUGCAAUUCUUCCUGUCUUCUACCAUGUGGAUCCUUCUGAAGUUAGAGAUCAGAAAAAGAGUUUUGCAGAAGCAUUUACGAGAUAUGAGAGGCAAAUUGAAGCUGAAAGUGAUGAAGGAAAGAGGGAGUGGAUGGAUAAGGUCCAAAAAUGGAGAGCAGCUCUUGGAGAGGUUGCAGAUUUGGGUGGUGUUCUAGUAAACAAUCAAGAGGAUAUGAAGGAAUCAGAGUUCAUUGAAGAAAUUCUUCAACUCAUUGAGGAUAAAUUGAACCGCACAAUAUCAAGUGUUGCACCUUACCUGGUUGGGAUCAGUUCACGGGUCAAAAAUAUCAUUUCAUGGUUGCAAGACGGAUC